CCUANGGGGGGCAGCAGUGGGGAAUUUUGCGCAAUGGGGGAAACCCUGACGCAGCAACGCCGCGUGAGUGAUGAAGGCCCUUGGGUCGUAAAGCUCUGUCAGAGGGAAAGAAAUGUGAGCGGUUAAUAGCUGUUUCACUUGACGGUACCCUCAAAGGAAGCACCGGCUAACUCCGUGCCAGCAGCCGCGGUAAUACGGAGGGUGCGAGCGUUGUUCGGAAUUAUUGGGCGUAAAGCGCGUGUAGGCGGCUUCAUAAGUCUGAUGUGAAAGCCCUGGGCUCAACCUGGGAAGUGCAUUGGAUACUGUGAGACUUGAGUACGGGAGAGGGCAGUGGAAUUCCCAGUGUAGGAGUGAAAUCCGUAGAUAUUGGGAGGAACACCGGUGGCGAAGGCGGCUGCCUGGACCGAUACUGACGCUGAGACGCGAAAGCGUGGGGAGCAAACAGGAUUAGAUACCCGGNUANUC
rnacentral:rRNA from 1 species